ACUCCUACGGGAGGCAGCAGUAGGGAAUCUUCGGCAAUGGGGGCAACCCUGACCGAGCAACGCCGCGUGAGUGAAGAAGGUUUUCGGAUCGUAAAGCUCUGUUGUAAGUCAAGAACGAGUGUGAGAGUGGAAAGUUCACACUGUGACGGUAGCUUACCAGAAAGGGACGGCUAACUACGUGCCAGCAGCCGCGGUAAUACGUAGGUCCCGAGCGUUGUCCGGAUUUAUUGGGCGUAAAGCGAGCGCAGGCGGUUUGAUAAGUCUGAAGUUAAAGGCUGUGGCUCAACCAUAGUUCGCUUUGGAAACUGUCAAACUUGAGUGCAGAAGGGGAGAGUGGAAUUCCAUGUGUAGCGGUGAAAUGCGUAGAUAUAUGGAGGAACACCGGUGGCGAAAGCGGCUCUCUGGUCUGUAACUGACGCUGAGGCUCGAAAGCGUGGGGAGCGAACAGGAUUAGAUACCCCUGUAGUCCCAUG
rnacentral:rRNA from 1 species